GUUCAAGACUAGGACGUUGAUAGGCUAUAGGUGUAAAGGCAGUAAUGUCAUAGCCGAGUAGUACUAAUUACCCGUGAUCUUUAGCUCG
rnacentral:rRNA from 1 species